rnacentral:tRNA from 1 species
GUGGUGGCUCAGUGGUAGAGUGCUUGCUUUGCAUGCAUGAGGCCCUGGGUUCAAUUCCUCAGCACCACA